rnacentral:lncRNA from 1 species
GCGAAAGCAGAAAUAGGGACUUAGGGCUUCGGGUCUUCAAAAUCCCGCAGGUUAAGCCCAUCCCGCUUUCGACCCGUCCCACUUUCGACCCGUCUCACUUUGAACCCGACCCGCGAGGCCUGCAAUUUUGCGGGCUUACCAAAUGGAGGUCCAAUCCCACUCCGCAGUAAGCCUUUACGGGCCAGGCCCGCGGUCAAGGUCCUUGAUUGCCAUCCAUAUUUUCAUCAC